CAUUAGGGUGUGCAUCCUAAAGCACAAACACACGCCGUGUGUGUGUAUGUAUAUAUAUAUAUAUAUAUAUAUACACACACACACACACACACACGGCGUGUGUUUGUGCUUUAGGAUGCACACC